rfam:Felis catus isolate Cinnamon breed Abyssinian chromosome B2, whole genome shotgun sequence.
UCAAAGGCUCUUUUCAGAGCCACCCAACUAUUUCAAGUGGAAGAGCU